UGGUGAUUCAUGAUAACUUUACGGAUCGCAUAGCCUUGCGNCUGGCGACNGGUUCAUUCAAANNNUUUCUGNCCCUAUCAACNUUUCGAUGGUAAGGUAUUNGGCUUANCCAUGGUUUCAACGGGUAACGGGGNAAUUAGGGUUCGAUUCCGGAGAGGGAGCCUGAGNAAACGGCUACCACAUCCAAGGAAGGCAGCAGGCGCGCNAAAUUACCCAAUCCCGACACGGGGAGGUAGUGACAAUAAAUACUGAUACAGGGCUCUUUUGGGUCUUGUAAUUGGAAUGAGUACAAUUUAAACCUCUUAACGAGGAACAAUUGGAGGGCAAGUCUGGUGCCAGCAGCCGCGGUAAUUCCAGCUCCAAUAGCGUAUAUUAAAGUUGUUGCAGUUAAAAAGCUCGUAGUUGAAACUUGGGCCUGGCUGGCGGGUCCGCCUCACCGCGUGCACUCGUCCGGCCGGGCCNUUCCUUCUGAAGAACCUCAUGCCCUUCACUGGGCGUGCUNGGGGAAUCAGGACUUUUACUUUGAAAAAAUUAGAGUGUUCAAAGCAGGCCUUUGCUCGAAUACGUUAGCAUGGAAUAAUAAAAUAGGGCGUGCGUUUCUAUUUUGUUGGUUUCUAGAGACGCCGCAAUGAUUAACAGGAACAGUCGGGGGCAUCAGUAUUCAGUUGUCAGAGGUGAAAUUCUUGGAUUUACUGAAGACUAACUACUGCGAAAGCAUUUGCCAAGGAUGUUUUCAUUAAUCAGUGAACGAAAGUUAGGGGAUCGAAGACGAUCAGAUACCGUCGUAGUCUUAACCGUAAACUAUGCCGACUAGGGAUCGGGCGAUGUUCUUUUUCUGACUCGCUCGGCACCUUACGAGAAAUCAAAG
rnacentral:rRNA from 1 species